rnacentral:hammerhead_ribozyme from 1 species
GCACUGCUGACGAGUCCCAAACAGGACGGAAUAACUGGUCCAGUGC